UUGACAUUUUUCGGCUAAAUGAGUGUUCGUCUGUUCAUUCAUUUUGGCGUAUAAAUUUUCGUUGUUAUGUUUUUUAAUUUAUUGAGACUUAGUGACUUUGAAAGAUUCUAUUAAUAUAGCUUUAGUUUUUUCUUUAUUCAACAUUAUAUUUUUCGGAAUUUUAAAAUUUGUAAAAUUAAUUAUUUUAAAUUACAUUUAAUAUUUACUUUCUAAGUUUUAGAAAUUUAUUAAUUCGGAAUGUUGUUAGUCUGACUAGUUGACUGC